UCGAACGGUAACAGGCUAGAGCUUGCUCUAGUGCUGACGAGUGGCGGACGGGUGAGUAAUGCUUGGGAAUCUGGCUUAUGGAGGGGGAUAACUACGGGAAACUGUAGCUAAUACCGCGUAACAUCUUCGGAUUAAAGGGUGGGAUCUUCGGACCACUUGCCAUAAGAUGAGCCCAAGUGGGAUUAGGUAGUUGGUGGGGUAAAGGCCUACCAAGCCGACGAUCUCUAGCUGGUCUGAGAGGAUGGCCAGCCACACUGGAACUGAGACACGGUCCAGACUCCUACGGGAGGCAGCAGUGGGGAAUAUUGCACAAUGGGGGGAACCCUGAUGCAGCCAUGCCGCGUGAAUGAAGAAGGCCUUCGGGUUGUAAAGUUCUUUCGGUAGCGAGGAAGGUAUCAAAUUUAAUAGAUUUGGUAAUUGACGUUAACUACAGAA
rnacentral:rRNA from 1 species